AUGGUGGGCUUCUUGUUGUAGCGGGCGAGCUUGGCGGACUCGCCGGCGAGCUUCUCGAAGAUGUCGUUGAUGAAGGAGUUCAUGAUGGACAUGGCCUUGGAGGAGAUGCCGAUGUCCGGGUGCACCUGCUUCAGCACCUUGAAGAUGUAG
rnacentral:rRNA from 1 species